UGCGGUCCCCCGCGCGGCGACACCUCACCCAACUCCCCCAGGGCUUGACGGCAGCAAGGGUAAGUGGGCUCUAUCGGGUGCGCGGGGGGCUCUUCCG
rfam:Friedmanniella luteola strain DSM 21741 genome assembly, chromosome: I